rnacentral:misc_RNA from 1 species
GGUUUCUCAAGCUUUGAUGCUUUUUUGUUUGACAAAAAAGCUUUUAGCUUGGUUAUUGGGCUUUGCUGUGUCCUUCAUUUGGAACAGGCUGGCCUUAAAAGCAUUAGCUUUGAUCCCUGGUGUGGAUUGGUUCUACUCGGCGUGAUAAUAAUAGUCUGACCGCUGAGGACAUCUUUCGGGGUGGCCAGUUCUCCUUGGGGUUGCUCUCUAAUCUGGAUUGCAAGAUUUGCGUAGUAAAUCUUGCUCCACUUUCAA